UGAAAACUUUUCUACUUCAACAGGCUUUGGGGAACUGACUGCAAGGGCUAUUAAAAGAGUGCUCUUUUGCUGAUUUCUAUUUUGUGUUUUCAAUAGCUAUGUUUUAAAUGGUUUUAGAGAGCCAGUGUGGCGUAGUGGUUUGAGUGUUGGACUACGACCUGAUAGACCAGGGUUCGAAUCCCCACACAGCCGUGGAACCUGUAUAUAAUAAAUCAGUGAGAAAGCUAGGGACUUUUCUAAAUGUACAUGCUGGAAAUUUCAAGGAGAAACCUAAAGCAACCUUAAAGGGACCAGGCUCCCUGUGGGCUACAGCCAUGUUGGGGCGGCAACCUCUAAACUCACUUGGAUCUCUGAUUUCUUACAUUCAAAGAGGUAUUCAGUUGACGUGAGCUGGAAGAGAAGGAACUGUUCCUUUCAUUCCAGGCCAUGGGUCUCUUCACAUCAUCUGGGAGAGAGAAACAGCCACACCUCAUCCUGGAAUAUCUUUACCGUAUGAGAAUUACUUCCGAAUAAAUAUCCCAGACUCCCAUGUGAUGCACCAAAGCUUAUUUGUGGAUAAGUUCUCUGUUGAACCUGCUGUCCUGCCCUGUGGAAGAAUCUGCAUCUAGCUGUGGAAAGACUGAAGCUAUGGGGGAGGACUGUAGCUCAGAAGCAGAGCAUCUGCCUUACAUGCGAAACGUCCCAAGGUCAAUCUCCAGCAUCUCCAGUUUGGAAAUGCAGCCAGGGAAAUGCAUUGAGCAGCAUGGGAAACCCGAAGAGACUGGCAGCCUGCACCCAGGCCAGCUGCUUUUCUGUUGCAUCUGUUAGGGGAACAUGACAUGAACGUAUGCAAUUUUACUGAAGUAACAAACAGCUCUUUGGAACUUGCCAGAAUUGCCACUCAGCUUCCUGCAAACACCCCCACAAAAAACUAUUGCUAUAAGAUUUUUAAAGACGACCUGCAAAUAUAUGCCCUGCAACAAUGAGCACAAUGUUUGGCUGGUCUUUUUUUUGGGGGGGGGAGGUAGGGAGUAGGUGAGAGGUUGAAGGGUAGCAGUGCAUGAUCUAUAUUUGUGAAGUUAUGAGAUGGGGAAAAGAGUAUGUAACUAUUUCUGUGGUUCUGGUCAACUCACCUGGGAAAAUGCCGUAAGAUCUUGUGAUCCCUUGGCAUAAUUUCUCCUGCAUCCUCAGACAAUACAAUAACUCCUUCUUUGGCUACAUACCUUUCUGCUUCCAGAGACAGGAACAGAAGUAUGUGAUUGUGCCACUGAGCCCUGAGCCCAGGCCCCUUCAAGAGCUGCACUGUUGCAAUGGGAUCAUAGCAGCUCCUUCGUGCAGGCAGAGAUGGGUGCCUGCCUGGCCAAUGUAGCUCAGACACUCUGCCGGAUGGGAAUCAGACAGAUGUGUUGCAGUGGGCAAAUCAUUCUCUUUGCUUCAGUAUAGUGGGGAAAUAAUACAAACCAUAGCAACUCACCAGGAUUAUGCCUCCUCAGCCAUUCAUCAAAGAGAGCAUCAGUAAAUGUGUGCAGCAGGACAAAGAUGGGAUCAUUUGGGGACAAAUGGGUUUGCCCUCCAGUGCCAUUCAAAAACAGAUGGGCCAGAUUGUGAAGACUGCGAACAGCUGGAUCGUACCUCCCCGAAGGAUCGCUGUAGCCUGGUGUGUAAGGAUAAAGAGGCGACACCAGUUGGAAACAAUCAUGGAAUUAUAUCAGCUGGCUCUAAUUCUGUCUGGCAUGAUGUCGGACCACUCUCUUAACUUCUUUAAGGAAAUUGCAUUGAUUCAGUGCAUGGCUGCUGUUUGCGUGGGACAGUCAAUGUUGAGAUUAAAUAAUAAAUGAUGAUACUUGACAAAUAAGAAGUGGCUUGCUUGCUCCUGUGUUUGUUGUGCAAGCAAAGUGAAAUGUUGCACAUUGGUGGUGAAACACACACAGCAAUCUGUUUUUUGUUUUGUUUUAGCAUUGAGUUAAGGCUACAGCUUUUGGACUGAAAUGGCAGCAAAUAUAAUUGAGACCACCAUGUGCAUUUUCUAACUGCAGACACGAGUGUCAAGAUGUUCUUAUGUAUCCUAAUAGGCCAGCUGUUCCUUCAGUUCCCCACAUGCCUCUUCCUGAAUGGUUGCCAGCAGACUGACUUUGGAAAAGGACCUUCUGCUUCA